rnacentral:rRNA from 1 species
AAAGGGUUGCGUAGGUGGUCGGGGUAAGUCUGAUGUGAAAUCUCCGAGCUUAACUCGGAAAUGGCAUUGGAUACUAUUCGGCUGGAGGGUUGGAGGGGGGACUGGAAUUCUCGGUGUAGCAGUGAAAUGCGUAGAUAUCGAGAGGAACACCAGUGGCGAAGGCGAGUCCCUGGACAACUCCUGACACUGAGGCACGAAAGCUAGGGGAGCAAACAGGAUUAGAUACCCUGGUAGUCCUAGCCGUAAACGGUGCAUAUUUGCUGUAAAAGGAAUCGACCCCUUUUGUGGCGAAGCUAACGCGAUAAAUAUGCCGCCUGGGAAGUACGGUCGCAAGAUUAAAACUCAAAGAAAUUGACGGGGGCCUGCACAAGCGGUGGAGUAUGUGGCUUAAUUCGAUGCAACGCGAAGAACCUUACCUGGCCUUGACAUGUAUCUAGUAGAAGGGUGAAAGCCUGACGAGAUAGCAAUAUCAGGAUACACAGGUGCUGCAUGGCUGUCGUCAGCUCGUGUCGUGAGAUGUUGGGUUAAGUCCCGCAACGAGCGCAACCCUUAUGUCCUGUUGCCACUUGAACGAGAGUUCGAAGCACUCUGGACAGACUGCCUCGCUUAAACGAGGAGGAAGGUGGGGAUGACGUCAAGUCAGUAUGGCCCUUACGGUCAGGGCUGCACACGUACUACAAUGCCCGGGCACAAAGGGAAGCAAGAC